GAUUGGAAUGGGAGGGAGUACUUCCUCUUCAUAUGCUGGAAAACAAUCUCCAGAAAUUAGGUUUGGCUAAGCUCCAAUUAGCUGGCGUGUCUGACUGGUGACAGCAUGGUCUACUUUUGUUUAUGGGGACGGUGGGAGCUGUAUCUCCGUCUCCCAACCUCCAGCGGCAGACAGAUGGAUAGAGCUAUAUAAUCAUCAACGGAAGCGUGUGAUAUUCUGUCUUCACAAACCAUCAUGCCGAGCAGAACCAACGGCCUUUUGUCUGCUUUUAGAAAUGACUGCAAGAUCCCUCCCAUCUGUCAAGUUAUGAGAUACUUGCAAACCAUCUCCUCCGUGACGUGCCCUGCUUGCCUUUCCAACGUGAACUCGUGCCACGCUCUCCCUUUCUCAAGAUGCGCAGCCACAUUGACCUUCUUCUUGUGUCUCACACUCACCAAGUUUUUCUGCCUCAAGGUCUUUGCAGCGCUGCUUUCUCUUCAUGGAAAAUGCCUCCCCAAGUUGCUCACACGAUGAGUUCCUUCUCGGUAUUCAGACCUCAGCCCAAACAUCCUCAGAGAGGCCUUUCCAGAGUUCUCAAGCUAAAGUUCUCUUUUGUCCUCUUGCCACAAUGCCAUCUAUCACAGGAUUUCUUGAGUUUGCUGUGCAUCAGAUCCCCCGCAGAACUUGUUAAAAACACAGAUUGCGGUCAGAGUUUCUGAUCAAUGGGGCCCCAAAACCUGCAUUUCUAACAAGUUCCCAGGUAGUGGCCCAAGGGCCGCACUUUGAGAACCA